CCGUAUAAGACGAAAAACCAAGCAACACUGGCACUAACGUAAUAACUAAUAAGAAACUUCAGCACAAGAGUAAAUACUACUAUACUUACUGACUUUGCAAUCUUGUAGUUUAUCUACUGUUUUUAUCUUUAAUGGUUGGGAGUGCAACAAUUGCGCCAAAUACCUAUUGUUAAGUCAUGUGAUUGCGAUGUUUUAAAUACGUAAAGCGCAAUCGGGAUAUUUAUUAGUUCAGAUAAACACCAAAAACGGUAUAUUUCCUACCUAUUUUUACGAGCUUCAUUUGCGAUAUUAAAAGCGGA